AACCACAACAAAUACCAGUAUAUCACCCUUUGAUUUUUUUUUUCGGUCAUAGAUUUCUUUAGUUUGUUUCUUUUACAUCGAUAAUUGUUCACUCAUAUUUAGAGUCAGCAGUUAUAGGUGAAGUACCAUAGAUUAGAUAUACAUGUAUGCUUAACAUUUAGGGCUGUAGCAGAUAGGCUUCUUUAUAUUCCAUGUUCAAGGCCAUUAUCGAAAAAUCCACGAUUCUCAUUUCUAUUAACCAAACUUUUUGUGAAAGAGAAAUUAUUAUAGCUACCUAUGUUUACGUCUUAGGUUUGACACAGCCAUGGUACAUACGGAGUUCAAAGUCAAGAUUCCCAUAUCAGUGAUAGGUUAAAUCACGCGUUUAUGCAAAGAGGCACAAUCCACAACGCACCAUGUAAUGAAUGAUUUUUCCAGUGUUUCAUUCUCUACUGGCGAUAGACGUGGAAAAAUUAGCAUUUUCGUCAUGAAACAAAUAUAUGGCGAACAAUAAACGGCAAUAAAGUUGUGUUCAAAAUGUUGAUGUACUUUUGUGAAUUAAAAUUCGUGUCAAUUUCUGUGAAUUCCCCGACUCCUUCACUAUCUUCCACACUUCAAUAGCAUUACCGAGUAUUUUGUGUUUCCAUGUACCAGAUUUAUUUCGGUCUUCUCUAGAUGUAUUCACUUUAUAAACAACUUGCGUUUCAUGGUUGAAAAUUAACCUUGUUCUAAUUUAUAUUCACUGUCCAGUGUGCUUUGCCUCUACACUCGUUCACACGGUGAGUACGGAUUUUAUAGCUUUUGUUUUCCUUCUUGUAACAUUGGAACACCUCAAACACCCUACAACGGUUCGUUAGUAGAUUGAAUGAGUAAUUUCGAGUAACAUCCUUCAAGGAUUGUAGUCUGUUGGAUGCAAGGUGAAGAUAACGAACAGUGAUCAAUCUCAUAACUCCUACAAGCAAUGCAAAAUAGAUAGUUGGGCAAACACGGACCCCUGGACACACCAGAGGUGGGAUCAGAUGCCUAGGAGGAGUAAGCAUCCCCUGUUGACCGGUCACACCCGCCGUGAGCCCCAUAUCCUGAUCAGGUAAACGGAGUUAUCCGCAGUCAAAAUCAGUGGAUAUAAUGCAACUGAAUAUUUUGCAGUCACCACGAGCAUCAGCUCUGUUUCUGAAUUUACCGAUUCAAGCUAUGUUUCCACAGGAUGCACACUUUUGUCAUCGCUUCAAAGAAGUUUAAAUAUUUAACUGAAGUAAGUUAAAAAUAUAUGUGGUCUUCCGUUGCACAUAUCCACUUGUAGACAUAAAAAUGAUCACAUCUUUUAUAAGGGUAAACAUUCGUAUCCUUUUGAAAGCAUAUUAAUUGACAGAUGAAAAGUUAAGAUAAUGAACAGCCUAUAUUUAAUACAAACUUAAUGCUGGGGCAAACACGGACCCCUGGAAACACCAAAAGUGGGAUAAGGUGUCUAGCACGAGUAGUAUACUCUGAUGACUGGUUACACCCUACCUCAAACCUCUAUCUUUUUACAAAAUGACAUCAGAAGUAUUUUCUGUAGACCUUCUUAUAAGCAACCACGAGGAGUAACAUUGUUCAUGUGUAUUAUGAUAAUGAUACAAAAGAAGCAAGAUCGGGAUUUAAGAACGUGACGAUUUUUAGCCGCCAUUUUGAUAACAGACUUACGGCCAGGUGCAUGUACUGAAUAAGACAUGAUCAAUUAGCAUGUUUGAAACAUGACGCCAUCUUGCGAAUAUUGUCCAUCCUCUGCAUCUAUUAAAGAUCACAGUUCAUGACAUCAGUUAUUACAGUGAAUGUACGCUGAAUAAGCAUAUAAGCUGAUCACGUUAUUUUGCCAUUUUGUUCGGUGUCUUGUUAGAUGAAGUAUCCUGUCACAUUCUUUUCUUCAAAAUGUACACGAAACAGUGCUUAUGUGAAUAAUCAAUAUCAAUUUUAAUAUACACUUUUCAGGGAAAACCAAAAUGACAUAUGCUGUUCAAACUACGUUCUGAAUCUCACAACCAAUCAAUGCCAAAUAUGUCCAGACGGAUAUUUUGAUGUGAACUGUUCCAAGACAUGUUACCCUGGAUUGUACGGAAAAGCAUGUUUUCAUGUUUGUCCAUCGGAAUGUAAGAACACGUGUCACUACGUCACGGGAGACUGUCCAGGUGCUUCUACACUGACUGAUACAGGUUUACGGACGAUAACUCCAAAUUCAAACACUCACAAAGUCACUAUCACUGUCGUGAGGAUGCAUCAAUUUUGCUAGUUUUAUGUUGUGGUCAAACUGUUUAGUACAUAAUUAUCUACAUGUUAAUCAAAUAACAAAAUGUUAUUCAUCAUAAUUCGCGAGAAAUAAACUUGCAAGUGUUGUUCUGCAAACUAUUUAAUAAAACAUAGUAUUUCAUAUAUGGAGAGGGAUAAUCACUCACAAUGCAUUAUUAAUUUCGAUCGUAUAAUAAGGAAUCACAGAAACUCAUCAAGAACUGCAAAUCAACUUUCGAAAAGAGCAACAACUCGUCAACCUUAUAGAUUAGUAUUUUUAUUUGAAAUAAGCGCAGAAAACGUUUAUAAAACAUUUAUCUACAUGCAAUUCAUUUCAGAAACUACCAAUGGAUACCUUAAACUAUCAACAGCGGGAUUGUUAGAUGAAACUAUCUCACAACAACAGCAGCGGAUGACAAAUUUGGUCAAUGGUACAUCAAAGUAGUGUAACCUGCAUGGUUAUUUAUUGUCAUUUUGUGUUAGAAAGAUCAUUUGAAAUAAGCUUUCAACAAUAGAUAAUCAAAUUUGAUAAAAUAUAUAUGUUCAUUGUUUACACCUAAAUAUAUCAUAGAAAAUGAUUAAAUAUUAACAGAGAUAUUCAAGAUCAAAGAAUAAUCAGUUGGACUUUAAGGGGAAGAUGUUGAAUAAUUGAAUUUAAAAUUCCAAUUAUGCGCGGAUUGUUUUAAAAUCUUCGUGAGAACAUUUGUAAGUUAACAUAUACAGAUCGGUAUAUUAAUAAUGGUCAGCCGGUAUUUUGCUAUACUACAAAUAGACUGGAUAAAUUUUUAAGGAUAAAACUGAUUGUUUACUUACAUUUUUCAUUUCUUUAUACAUGUUUACGCAAUACAUAUACACAAACGUACUGUGAAACUGACGUCAUUCAUUGUGGUUAGAUAGUAAAUCGACUGAAUAUCAAUUACCAACUAACAGUCAAAAUGUGCGAGACAUAUAAAGAUAUUAUAUAAUAAAAUUUAUAUGUACUGGACCAAAUUUUUAACUCCCCAAAUUAAUAAUUUCUAAAUUUUACAAACUUCUGCAGUUAUGUAAUUUGUAAUUCAAAAUAUCUUCUGCUAACUAAAACGCUGACCUUUUUAGCACAAAUAUUGCAAGAACACGUUCGUAGCCACUGGACCGUAGCGGGUUUUGUUGAAAUUGAAAAUCUCGUGUUCGAUUGGUUUUACUGUCUUGCUUUUCAAAAAUCUUUGUUUUUCUUGUUCUCAAUACACUCAUUUGUACAUGUAUGUGAAAAACACAAAGUUACUUAAGUCAAAUGCGGCGCAUGUCGACAGAGGAACGCGGAAGAGCGGUUGACAUGGUUCAUGCUGGGUGCAGUUUAUGAGAGGUUUGCUUUCUUCCAUUAGAUUCGAUCUUUUGCGAAACACUUUCAGAUACACAGGGUACGAAACAAUUUAAAAAGUCAAUUGAAUUGAUCAUUUUCACAGGUUGCUAGAAAUUUCAAUAGAGACUACAAUACUAUCACAAACCUAAUCCGAAAA